GAUGAACGCUGGCGGCGUGCUUAACACAUGCAAGUCGAACGGUGAAAGCGGGGCUUGCUCUGCUGGAUCAGUGGCGAACGGGUGAGUAACACGUGAGCAAUCUGCCCCUGACUCUGGGAUAAGCGCUGGAAACGGCGUCUAAUACCGGAUACGAGCUGCGAAGGCAUCUUCAGCAGCUGGAAAGAACUUCGGUCAGGGAUGAGCUCGCGGCCUAUCAGCUAGUUGGUGAGGUAACGGCUCACCAAGGCGUCGACGGGUAGCCGGCCUGAGAGGGUGACCGGCCACACUGGGACUGAGACACGGCCCAGACUCCUAUGGGAGGCAGCAGUGGGGAAUAUUGCACAAUGGGCGAAAGCCUGAUGCAGCAACGCCGCGUGAGGGACGACGGCCUUCGGGUUGUAAACCCCUUUUAGCAGGGAAGAAGCGAAAGUGACGGUACCUGCAGAAAAAGCGCCGGCUAACUACGUGCCAGCAGCCGCCGUAA
rnacentral:rRNA from 1 species